CUGGUCUAAGAAGGGAGCUCUUGGUGAGGAGAUGGAAGACCUCCUGGAUAAACUUGAUGAACAGACAUCCAACACUGUGUCCAACGGGCACUGAGAGGCCUGCCCAUUUUCCUCAAGAGAAGAUGCAACAGAGGUUUUCCUGAAGUGCUUAGACACUGACAUUUUGGAACCAGUGUUGAACGGUGCAUCAGUUGCCAUCCUCACCAUCCUACAAGAUGACGAUGCUGAUACGUCUGUGCGAGAACAUGCAGUUGUGUUGGAAGGGGACAUUGUGCUACAUAACAUUCCAGAUCUCUCUACUGCCCUGGCACACCUCUUUGGCCUUCUGUAUGCCCUCAACAUUGAUUAUCCAAAGCAGAUGAGUUUUACCUUUGAAGCAAUUCAGGCCAUCUUAUUUUGGCCUGGUCGGACAAUAUGAAGGUGAAGUGGAUAAAUCAUUAUUCGAAAUGUAAAUUUUAGUCAGAUGAAUCUGUAUUGUUGAGAAUAUAUGGUGAAAAUUUGUCUUGUAGUAUUUUAAAAGAUUUGUUAUAGUGUUAGUUUCCUCUUCAUUGAUGGUAACAUUUCUAA